rnacentral:tRNA from 1 species
UGCGGGGUAGAGCAGUUUGGUAGCUCGUCGGGCUCAUAACCCGAAGGUCAUAGGUUCAAAUCCUGUCCCCGCUA